UAACAGGCAUAGGGAAACAACUCGCUAAACUCGUUUGGAUAAAUCACGAACCCUGGUUAUUCCCAUUGCCAAGUGUAGACCUCAAUAUACAAAGGGAGUUAAAGGAAAAGAAAGAACUACCAGUAUGGCGCAUAGUCCAGAAUUAUUUUUGCAAGAUAUCACUCAGACUCAACAAUCAUAUUUACAGAUGGUUCCAAAGAUCCAGACACAGGGCGUGCAGGGGCAGCAGUAGGCCUAUACAUCGCAUCUCUUGUCCACACUCCAGUCCAGUUGGUGGCGGUAAUGGACCUACAAGUUGGUUUGCCAACCGCCAAUAAACACGAAAGAAGAAGAAGAAGAAGAAGAAGAAGAAGAAGAAGAAGAUAAAUCACGAGUUAGUUGCUGAGUUUACCGUUUGAUAGUUCAUCACGUAAACUCAAUCUGCGUGAUUUUGCAACUUUUGGUUAACCUGGAAAUCAUCUUGUUGUCAUGGCGAUAAGACUUUGUGGUGUUUUUAUACUGGUUGCAGCUUCUAUUCAAGACUGUGAUGGGGUCCUGCGCUUCGCCUCCUACUAUCAAGAUCACAUGGUGCUGCAGAAGUCUCCAGAGAGAGCUGUAGUUUGGGGCUAUGGAUCCGAGGG